rnacentral:lncRNA from 1 species
GAGGUCAGGCGGAGGCUCUGCCGCUGCGGCCGCAGUAGCUCAGCUCCUAUUCCUGGGAAGCCUGGAACGGGGACUUUUGAAAAUAACUGCAGCGGCAUUCGGGUUAGGGUCCGUGCUCUCCGCCUGCGCCAGGACAGGGUGAAGUGGUCGGGGCGAGCAGAGGGUGCGAAGGUGCGGGUGCUGGUGCCUCGCAGCAGGAGGGAGCCCCGGCUGCGCCGCGCGACUCCCUCUUUGGCCCUCGGAGCGCAGCACCCGGCGGACAAGCGGCGGGACGCCAGGACGCGGCGAGCAAGGUGAGGCAGGGUCCUGAAGUCACAGGGGCUCCAGCAGCCGCUUCCCUGCCUUCGGACCCGGCGCUGCGCGGUGCGCGGCGAGGAGUUGCGAUCUGUACCAGGGGCAGAGGAGCAGAGGAGCAGGGAAACAGCUUCAUUUUGCCCGCCGCCCCCUCUUUUUCUCCCGCGUGCUGGUGCGCGCCCUCAUCCUUACACCUUCGCAUCCCUUUCUGCCGGUCCCUCUGGCUCCGUCGGACGCCUGGGUUCUUCUAGGACCCCAGAACCCGGCUUUCCUGUGCUUCUUUGUCAUCUCUCCAAGAUCUUCUCCUCUGGGCCUCGCUGUUGCUGCC